rnacentral:rRNA from 1 species
GACGAACGCUGGCGGCGUGCCUAACACAUGCAAGUCGAACGGAGAAUUUUAUUUCGGUAGAAUUCUUAGUGGCGAACGGGUGAGUAACGCGUAGGCAACCUGCCCUUUAGACGGGGACAACAUUCCGAAAGGAGUGCUAAUACCGGAUGUGAUCAUCGUGCCGCAUGGCAGGAUGAAGAAAGAUGGCCUCUACAAGUAAGCUAUCGCUAAAGGAUGGGCCUGCGUCUGAUUAGCUAGUUGGUAGUGUAACGGACUACCAAGGCGAUGAUCAGUAGCCGGUCUGAGAGGAUGAACGGCCACAUUGGGACUGAGACACGGCCCAAACUCCUACGGGAGGCAGCAGUGGGGAAUCUUCCGCAAUGGACGAAAGUCUGACGGAGCAACGCCGCGUGAGUGAUGAAGGAUUACGGUCUGUAAAGCUCUGUUGUUUAUGACGAACGUGCAGUGUGUGAACAAUGCAUUGCAAUGACAGUAGUAAACGAGGAAGCCACGGCUAACCACGUGCCAGCAGCCGCGGUAAUACGUAGGUGGCGAGCGUUGUCCGGAAUUAUUGGGCGUAAAGAGCAUGUAGGCGGCUUAAUAAGUCGAGCGUGAAAACGCGGGGCUCAACCCCGUAUGGCGCUGGAAACUGUUAGGCUUGAGUGCAGGAGAGGAAAGGGGAAUUCCCAGUGUAGCGGUGAAAUGCGUAGAUAUUGGGAGGAACACCAGUGGCGAAGGCGCCUUUCUGGACUGUGUCUGACGCUGAGAUGCGAAAGCCAGGGUAGCGAACGGGAUUAGAUACCCCGGUAGUCCUGGCCGUAAACGAUGGGU